AAUGGGUCAAUUUUAUGCGUUCAAUGGAUGCCUAGGUGCAACACACCGAAGAAGGACGUAGAGGGCUUACGAUAAGUACCGGUGAGCUGCCGUCAAGCUUUGAUCCGGUAAUUUCCGAAUGGGGAAACCCGCUUGUGCAUGGCACAAGAGGUUUGUUAAGAGGUUACGGUUACAAUGCCAGUAUCGUUUAGCGGUUACGUUUAGCGUUAAUAUUACGUUUGACGUCUAACUUUUUACGAAACGGGUUUCGUUACCGAUAAACCCUAAACGAAUUUCUUGCGCUGUGCAUGAGCACUUUAGUGCGAAUACAUAAGCGCUAGAGAGGGUACCGCCUGAACUGAAACAUCUAAGUAAGGCGAGGAAAAGAAAACAAACCAGUGAUUCCCUAAGUAGUGGCGAGCGAAAGGGGAAGAGCCUAAACUUGAGCGAGGCAUUGAGCCUCGCAGUGGGUAGUUAAUAGUUGGUAGUAGGUAGUUGGCGGCAAAUUAAUUGCAGCUUCUACAAGCUACAAGCGAGUCGAGUCCGACUCGACGAGUGAACUACUAACUACAAGUCGAAUUCAUUCGGCGUACUGCGAAGCUGAAAGCUUCGCUUGAGGGUUGCGGGACUCAAAUAUGAGACUAUUGCGGAUAGCAGAAUAAUCUGGAAUGGU
rnacentral:ncRNA from 1 species